UACGGAAGGUGCAAGCGUUAAUCGGAAUUACUGGGCGUAAAGUGUGCGCGGGCGGCGCCGCGUGUCGAGUGUGAAAGCCCCGGGCUCAACCCGGGAGUGGCGUUCGAAACUGCGGUGCUCGAGUCCGGCAGAGGAAGGUGGAAUUCCGCAUGUAGCGGUGAAAUGCGUAGAGAUGCGGAGGAACACCGAUGGCGAAGGCAGCCUUCUGGGCCGGAACUGACGCUCAUGCACGAAAGCGUGGGGAGCAAACAGG
rnacentral:misc_RNA from 1 species